UCACCUUUUUUGAAGGAGCCCC
rnacentral:miRNA from 1 species